CCCUGCAUAAUGCAAACAGUUAAUGCACUCAGCUGGUAACUGAAAGGGUGGAGGUUCAAGCCCUCCUAGAGGUG
rnacentral:tRNA from 1 species